ACGAACGCUGGCGGCAUGCCUAACACAUGCAAGUCGAACGAGACCUUCGGGUCUAGUGGCGCACGGGUGCGUAACGCGUGGGAACCUGCCCUUAGGUUCGGAAUAACUCCCCGAAAGGGGUGCUAAUACCGGAUAAUGUCUUCGGACCAAAGAUUUAUCGCCUUUGGAUGGGCCCGCGUUGGAUUAGCUAGUUGGUAGGGUAAAAGCCUACCAAGGCGACGAUCCAUAGCUGGUCUGAGAGGAUGAUCAGCCACACUGGGACUGAGACACAGCCCAGACUCCUACGGGAGGCAGCAGUGGGGAAUAUUGGACAAUAGGCGAAAGCCUGAUCCAGCAAUGCCGCGUGAGUGAUGAAGGCCUUAGGGUUGUAAAGCUCUUUUACCCGGGAUGAUAAUGACAGUACCGGGAGAAUAAGCGCCGGCUAACUCCGUG
rnacentral:rRNA from 1 species